GACGAACGCUGGCGGCGUGCUCAACACAUGCAAGUCGAACGGAAAGGCCCUGCUUUUGUGGGGUGCUCGAGUGGCGAACGGGUGAGUAACACGUGAGUAACCUGCCCUUGACUUUGGGAUAACUUCAGGAAACUGGGGCUAAUACCGGAUAGGAGCUCCUGCUGCAUGGUGGGGGUUGGAAAGUUUCGGCGGUUGGGGAUGGACUCGCGGCUUAUCAGCUUGUUGGUGGGGUAGUGGCUUACCAAGGCUUUGACGGGUAGCCGGCCUGAGAGGGUGACCGGCCACAUUGGGACUGAGAUACGGCCCAGACUCCUACGGGAGGCAGCAGUGGGGAAUAUUGCACAAUGGGCGGAAGCCUGAUGCAGCAACGCCGCGUGCGGGAUGACGGCCUUCGGGUUGUAAACCGCUUUCGCCUGUGACGAAGCGUGAGUGACGGUAAUGGGUAAAGAAGCACCGGCUAACUACGGG
rnacentral:rRNA from 1 species